GUGUUUGGACCAGUUACUAACAAUGAGAAUCUACUUCAGCCACCUGUAAUGUGCCAGAUUCAUAAAGAGGAGCCUGACAGUUCACCAAGGAGAGAAAUGAUACCUAGUCCUCAUAUUUGUUGGCAGCUACUUCAAAAUAGAAGAGGCAUUCAUCUUUCUGACAGCAAGGGCACUUGAGAUUCCAUUUUUUUCACGCUUUACAAAAAUGUGUUUUCAAUUGAAAACUGAUACUCUGCUUUUUAUGAUAAAAAUCUUGCAAUUGGUGAUGUGCAGAAGAAAAAUGACCUAUUUCUACUUGUACAUUUCACUGCAUUUAAAUUCUUAGUGCAAAGAUAAAGCCAAGAAUUCUCUGCUUCUCAGGGUCAGAGGUGUCAGAAUUGCCAUUCACCAUAAAGUCAGAGGGGCAGCAAUGGUAAUUAAGGCUUUAGGAAACAGACCAGUGAGGACUCAGGGCAGGGAGGUGGGUGAAGAAGACAAUGAUAUAGGGAUUUAGUAUUUAAGGGAUAGAAUCACAUGGAAUGGUGAUUAUCUGUCCUCUCUUUCAAAGGAAAGAGGAAAUAAGGAAAUACACAGAUAGGCUUCUAUUCAGCAUUAAUGUGUUCUCGCUGCAAGGAUUAAAAGAGCCUGAAAUGAGGCACCAAGGAGGGCUACCACAUUUCUUUAGGAGGUAUUUAAACUCUGGGAAAUUGAUGGAUGUGAUGAGUUCUGAAGUGACAGUUCACUUCUCUGACUCUAGGAAAGCUGUCACAGAUCAGAAUCCUUUUUCUCUUUAGAGAAGGCAUCUACCUGUCUGAUGUCUUAAUAGACCUCUCUACCUGUAUGUAACAAUUCCUUCAUGAUUAUUUUCUUGUCCUAAUCUUAGUGGGGAUAAGGAACAAAGACAUUAUUCAAACUAUAAUCUUUCAAACAGUUGAAGUGGACUGCAAUAAGCUCAUCCCCAACUCAGAUAAGUUUUGCAUUCUUUGGGUAAAAGAAUACCAGUUCUUAACUUGACCAUCUGUGGCAUUCUUAUCAUUAUUCUAUACCUUUUUAUUGUAGUCCAAAAUCACCUUUAUGAUUGGGCAGCCUAACUUUAGAAAAGAAGUGUUUGAGUGCCAUCUGAAUAAAUAGGCAAACAAACCCAGAAUGUAUUUGAGUUGUUCACUUAUUUGGUUCCUAGGAUAGUGGUUACUGUCCUAUGGACCACAGAAAUGCCUUUGUUAGGGAGAAGAUGGAGCAUGUGGUAAAGGGCCAAGGGGAGGCCAGGGAACAAGGAGGAGGAGCCGUUGACGUACUGCCCCAAUACAGUAUUGUAAAGUAAAAUAAAGUAAAAUUUAAAAAAAGAAAAUAACUGGCUCUGCAGGUAACAAUUCCUCAAAUUAAAUAUUAAGAACUCAUCUGGCCAUGCCUUAUUCUUUUCCUACUUUUACGUGUUACAAGGCCAAAGGCAAAGAAACAACAGACCAGAGCCAAUGAGUGGUAGAACUGAAGUUAGAAUCCAGGAGAACUUUACUGCCAAUCUAGUGCUCAGUCCACUAAACUAGGGAGGCUGCCCAAAUAUGUAAGCCCAGUAAACAUAAUAAAUAUAUUGUGAUGAUGUUCACAUAAGCACUCUGCAAAAAAUAUCCUGUAAUCUCAUUCUGGUAGUAAUUUGAUAUUUAGAUCAAACUGACAUCUCCACACUUCUUUAAGCAUGAAAUAUGUUAUAAAGACUUAUUGUUGCUUCAUAAAACAAUAAUACAAGCAAGACCAUAAACUUAAACAUUUGAAUAACAAGUAAUUCUACUUUUAUGGGUCUGUAUGGCACAGAGGUUAUGGUGGUGAUUUACCAAGUCUGAAGUCUCUGAAUACCUCUUUGGUGGGGGAAAAUGUCAGCCUGUAGAUCAGUCAAAAUCACAUGAUACACUCGGUUGUAAAAUUCUAGUGUUAGAGCCUCAGGUCAAAGGCUAGACUUGCUCCUAUACUUUUCACUUUUCACCUUCCAGGAGAAUUACAGUGUGUCGUACUUUGGAGCUGCUAACAAAAUUCUCAGCUAGAUCUGAGUCAUUUAGAAAACAGGAAACAAAGCAUGAUGAAAUUUAUUUUCAAAUGGAAAAUUGUAAUUGGCUCAUUUUGAAGGGAGAAAGAAAGAACAUACUCAUCAAGAGAGUAGAAGAUAAAUUAUGAAAAAUGAAAUGGAGAAUUUGGACAAGAAAUAAGAUGGGUUUACCUCAAAGCAUAUCUGAAAUACCAUUUUUAAAAAUAGAAUAUUAUAAACACUCAGAACCAGUCCUUCUGAGUGAAAAGGAACUUCUAGACAAAAGGCAGCCAAGGAAUACAGAGGCUCUGGCACACGCUUGUUUUCUGUCACCUUGGAGGAAUAUAGCUCCAUGUUGAUACUGGGGUUAUAAAUGUUUAUAAGCAUAGUUCUUGGUAGGCAGUAGUUUCCAGUUUCACACAAGCCAUUUGGAGGACCCUUGGGAGGUUACUGGGUCAUAUCCUAUGUAACAAGGACUUCACCUACUGAAACACUAAGGGUGAGUCCUAACAGUACCAAGACUGGGCAUUGAGGGAACAAGCCAUGCCAAGCACAGACCAUGGCAAUCUGAAUGGGCUUCACAGUCAUUAGAAGUCAUUCAAACAAGAGGAUACCAAGAGUGAUCCUAGAGGUUAAACCAAGAUGAGGAACCAGAUGUCAGCGCCAAGAGCAGAGCUUAAGUCCAGUGGCAAUAUUCAAUUACUGGGGGCUGAGACAGUGACCUUUCCAGGCUGUUCAUGGGGUUCUCAAGGCAAGAAUAUUGAAGAAGUUUGUCACUCCCUCCUCCAGUGGAUCAUGUUUUUUCAGAACUCUUCACCAUAACCCAUCCAUUUUGGGUGGCCCUAAAGGCAUGGUUCAUUGGAGAAGGCAAUGGCAACCCACUCCAGUACUCUUGCCUGGAAA
ensembl:lncRNA